GGGGAGGGAGGGAGGGGACCUCCUCGCCCAGUCACUCACUCGAGGGGCGGGGGCAGCCAGACACUCCCCCACCGCCGGCCCCUCCCCGCGCCCGGCUCCCGCGCGCGUCCAGCACCCAGCCUCGCCCCUGGGAACGGCCUGCGGAGGCCGGGAGGGUGCCGCGGACCCCGGAGAAAGGGACCAGGAGAGCGGGGCUGCCAGGGCUGCAGAGAGGGAAGGCGGGUGAGGACGGGCGUGUGUGUGUGUGUGUGUGUGUGUGUGUGUGCGUGCGCGCGCGCGCGCACCCCGCGCCGGCCGGCCAGCGGGAAGGGAGACCCCGACGCGAAAGCUGCGUCCUGGGCCUGACACCCGGGCGGUGGCGUGGAAGCCACGGGGCCGCUCGGAGGUCGGGGCGGCCCAGCUCUGCGGGAAACCCAAGCCAGCCCUUGGGCCCAGCCGUGGGGCUGCGCCUGCUGGAAGCAGAGGGAGGGAAGGCCGGGCAUCCUCGCCGCGCCGCGCGGCCACUCCCUUCGCUGGGCCGGCGGGCGCUGCCCAGCGGCCCCGGCCCCUGACCCGCCACCCUGCCCUGGAGCCGCGGCGCCUGCAAGAUGAAUGAAGCGUUGGUCACUGGGCAGAAGCUGCACUGGGGAGGGGAAGGAGACACCGCCUGAGACUUCGCGCCCUGCGCCCCCUCUUUGCCCCUCCGGCCUCUUGGGACUAAAGGGCGGAGGCCGCGCCUGCAAGGCGCGUUUGGGAUGAUUGGGGAUCCACAAAGAUCGCCGCCCACCAUUUUACCUGCUCAGUUUUUUGUGGACACUCACAAGAGGUCAACCAGUUUCUCACUCUCUGGGAGAAGGGCUCAGUGACUGACACCAUAGAUUUCUUGAGAGCAAUACAAUGUAGGUCUCCUCUGAAUUGAUAUCCUCAGAAGUAACAGAAGGCCACAGAGCAAGCACUCCAUACAUGUAAACUCAGCCAGGUAUGAAGGAAAUAAAAAUCACCAUAAUCCUACCCUCCAGAGAGAAGUACUCAUACAGCGUUAUGGAUUGAAUGUUUGCAUCCCCAAAUUCAUGUUGGAGCCUUAAUCCCCGAUGCUGAUGGUAUUAGGAGGAGAACACAAGCAAACCGGGAAAAGGGCCCUUACCAAGAACUUGACCAUGCUGGCACUUUGAUCUCAGACUUCCAGCCUCCAGAACUGUGAGAAGGUAUGUAUUUUCUUUAUUUCAUUUUCAAAAUUGGAGUAGAUAGAAGAUGAAAACAUGGAACAUAGUCACUUGGAGCAAGAAGUGUUAGGAAUCCAUAACCAAGGAGUGAGAUUCAGCCACAGGUCAAAGAGAAGAAUGGAGCAGAGGGAGGGGAAUUCCAGGUACCUGGAAGGGGUCUGCCAAGCCCCCUGCGCCCCACCCCCCCGCCCCCAGGCUGUCUGCUUCCUCUCCUUCUUGUUUCAUGGCCUUCUCCAGAUAGUUCGCUUUCCAGCUUGGAGCCCCUUUUCCCAGGUCACACAACAGCGCCACCACUGUGGGUGUAACAGAUGAAUCUCCAGACGGUGAAGUCAUUGGUUCUUACUGGUAUCCGCUAGAGUCCUAUCUUGCUUCCAGCUUAUAUGUGCUAAUAGUAUUGUUAUUUCAUGUGUUGGUCUUGUCUCUCCAAUCAACUGUAAGCUCUGUGAGAACUGAAGACCUUGAUGUUCCUAUAGCACUCGAGCCAGACAGUGGGAACUCUAUACAGCCUUAGGAGUAAGGGUUGCUAUUAACUUAUUAAGUCACUAUGUGGGCUCCUCUCAGUGACAAUGGAAAGCAAAUAUUGACAUCCAGAAACUUCAGCAACUGUGAUAUAACCAAAGGAAUGUGGCUAAAGUAGAAAAGGAAAUUGUGUGCGUGUGUGUGCAUAAGUGUGGGUGUGUGUGUGAAAAAGAGAGAGAAAAACAGAAACAAACAAACAAAAAUUUUUCAUCUCUAUCCCAACAUUACCUCUUUGAAAACCCCCUCUCCUUCCCCUACUCCCUUUCAGAAAGUGAAACAAUGUUGAGGAGGUAAACGUAAAAAGUUGCAUCUUCCUUCACCAUAAUUAAGCAAGAACCCCUAAAAUAGCUAAUAAGUCAUUACACUGCAGUUCAAAAGCUGUACUGGUU